AUAUCGCGCUGUACGCACCAUUUAUUGCGAGGGCAGAAAUAUUAAGAAGGCGUUAUCUCACAAUUAGUCUCGUUCGACUCGGGCAGGCAGGUGAAAAGAGCUGCUUUUCCAGCUCGCGUGUCAGGCAACAGCUGCCGGCCCCGAUGGCUCUCUUUCGCUUUUAUAAAGGUUUCCGGUGACCAUGUCAAGCGAACCGGUAUCGAUGCCCUCGAGUGGCGGAUAUUAGUCGAGGAUGAGAUCGGCGCUGUGCCACGGGCGAUUCCGCGUGCAUUACGAAGCUACCGGGUAAUCGCAGAGUUUUUUUUAAUACUCUUUUCCCACCGUCCUUUCAUUUGCCACGGGAUUGGGGGAAAGCCAGUGCCCGGGAUAAGCCGUAGGAAAGCGCGGCGCGGGAGCGAUGCCGGUGACAGAUUACGCCGCACCGCGCGAUCCGCAGUCUGGUCCUAAAGCCGCGUCGUGGAAAAAAGCAGAGCGAGGAUUCGCCGAGGACAGAUCUCCCCCGUCCGGGUGUGGAUUACCUACUCUACAUCGAUUUCUGUAGUUGAAAGAACGCUCAACGGAUGACAACGAAUUGUAGAAGAACGUGGAUUUAGAGGCAAGGAAGAAAAGGUGUGCUGCGGUGUCGACAGGUCAGUUCGGAUUACACCGGCGGAAACAAAUGAGUCUACCGUGCGCGAAGGAGCUAUGGUGAAGACCUUACAAGAAGAUAAAUGAACCGGCUUUUGGAAUACAUGCGCUUCGAAUUCAAUUUCCAUCUAAUGACGGAACGACAAAGGAAAAAAUUAAAUGAGUUAAGUAAGCUCCUUCCAACUCUGU